rnacentral:rRNA from 1 species
GACGAACGCUGGCGGCGUGCUUAACACAUGCAAGUCGAACGGAAAGGCCCUGCUUUUGUGGGGUGCUCGAGUGGCGAACGGGUGAGUAACACGUGAGUAACCUGCCCUUGACUUUGGGAUAACUUCAGGAAACUGGGGCUAAUACCGGAUAGGAGCUCCUGCUGCAUGGUGGGGGUUGGAAAGUUUCGGCGGUUGGGGAUGGACUCGCGGCUUAUCAGCUUGUUGGUGGGGUAGUGGCUUACCAAGGCUUUGACGGGUAGCCGGCCUGAGAGGGUGACCGGCCACAUUGGGACUGAGAUACGGCACAGACUCCUACGGGAGGCAGCAGUGGGGAAUAUUGCACAAUGGGCCGAAGCCUGAUGCAGCAACGCCGCGUGCGGGAUGACGGCCUUCGGGUUGUAAACCGCUUUCGCCUGUGACGAAGCGUGAGUGACGGUAAUGGGUAAAGAAGCACCGGCUAACUACGUG